GACAGAGGGUGCGAACGUUGUUCGGAAUUACUGGGCGUAAAGCGCAUGUAGGCGGCAGCGCAAGUCGGGCGUGAAAUCCCACGGCUCAACCGUGGAAGUGCACUCGAAACUGCGCAGCUAGAGUCCUGGAGAGGAAGGUGGAAUGCUUGGUGUAGAGGUGAAAUUCGUAGAUAUCGAGCGGAACACCGGUGGCGAAGGCGGCCUUCUGGACAGUGACGUGACGCUGAGAUGCGAAAGCGUGGGGAGCAAACAGGG
rnacentral:rRNA from 1 species